rnacentral:rRNA from 1 species
AGUGAACGCUGGCGGCAGGCCUAACACAUGCAAGUCGAACGGCAGCACAGAGGAGCUUGCUCCUGGGGUGGCGAGUGGCGGACGGGUGAGGAAUGCGUCGGAAUCUGCCUUUUUGUGGGGGAUAACGUAGGGAGACUUACGCUAAUACCGCAUACGACCUACGGGUGGAAGUGGGGGACCGCAAGGCCUCACGCAGAAAGAUGAGCCGACGCCAGAUUAGCGAGUUGGCGGGGUAAAGGCCCACCAAGGCGACGAUCCGUAGCUGGUCUGAGAGGAUGAUCAGCCACACUGGGACUGAGACACGGCCCAGACUCCUACGGGAGGCAGCAGUGGGGAAUAUUGGACAAUGGGCGCAAGCCUGAUCCAGCCAUGCCGCGUGUGUGAAGAAGGCCUUCGGGUUGUAAAGCACUUUUGUCCGGAAAGAAAUCCUUUCGAUUAAUACUCGGGAGGGAUGACGGUACCGGAAGAAUAAGCACCGGCUAACUUCGUGCCAGCAGCCGCGGUAAUAC